AUUCUUUGCACACGGAACAGCAAAGAAAGCAGUGAUUGGGUCAAGUGUCUGCCUUCAUAGAUGGGAAAGACUUCACUCAAUGCACGAGUCUGAUGUGCAUACGUCAAGAGCACAUUUGAUUGUCAACCAUUUCUGCUUCCAACAACGUCCUCCAUCCUGAUAAGCAAAGAAAGACGAAUGGAAUUGGAAUCAGUGUGCAAUUAAGAAUGGUCCUGCUUCCACAUCUGAUAUUAUUCAAGCCCAUGCUCUCCAUUAUUUGUUUUUACUAAAAUUAUCUGAUUCGCUGCCAGCGUGUAAUGCAGAAGUUGCAUACAAUGAGGAUAUCCCAUUCCACCACCUCAUGGCAUAAAUCAGUAUAGU
rnacentral:lncRNA from 1 species